AACGAACGCUGGCGGCAGGCCUAACACAUGCAAGUCGAGCGAGCAUUUCGGUGCUAGCGGCGGACGGGUGAGUAACGCGUGGGAACGUGCCCUUUUCUGCGGAAUAGUCCUGGGAAACUGGGGGUAAUACCGCAUACGCCCUUUUGGGGAAAGAUUUAUCGGAGAAGGAUCGGCCCGCGUUGGAUUAGGUAGUUGGUGGGGUAAUGGCCCACCAAGCCGACGAUCCAUAGCUGGUUUGAGAGGAUGAUCGGCCACACUGGGACUGAGACACGGCCCAGACUCCUACGGGAAGCAGCAGUGGGGAAUCUUAGACAAUGGGGGCAACCCUGAUCUAGCCAUGCCGCGUGAGUGAUGAAGGCCUUAGGGUUGUAAAGCUCUUUCAGCUGGGAAGAUAAUGACGGUACCAGCAGAAGAAGCCCCGGCUAACUCCGUG
rnacentral:rRNA from 1 species